rnacentral:rRNA from 1 species
UACAGAGGUCUCAAGCGUUGUUCGGAUUCAUUGGGCGUAAAGGGUGUGUAGGUGGCGCCGUAAGUCGGGUGUGAAAUUUCGGAGCUUAACUCCGAAACUGCAUUCGAUACUGCGGUGCUUGAGGACUGGAGAGGAGACUGGAAUUCAUGGUGUAGCAGUGAAAUGCGUAGAGAUCAUGAGGAAGACCAGUGGCGAAGGCGGGUCUCUGGACAGUUCCUGACACUGAGACACGAAAGCCAGGGGAGCGAAACGGG